CCCAGACUCCUACGGGAGGCAGCAGUGGGGAAUAUUGCACAAUGGGGGAAACCCUGAUGCAGCAACGCCGCGUGGGUGAAGGAGCGUUUCGGCGCGUAAAGCCCUGUCAGCGGGGAAGAAGAAAGACGGUACCCGACCAAGAAGCCCCGGCUAACUACGUGCCAGCAGCCGCGGUAAUACGUAGGGGGCAAGCGUUAUCCGGAUUUACUGGGUGUAAAGGGAGCGUAGACGGUGCAGCAAGUCUGAUGUGAAAGGUCAGGGCCCAACCCCGGGACUGCAUUGGAAACUGUUGAACUGGAGUACAGGAGAGGUAAGCGGAAUUCCUAGUGUAGCGGUGAAAUGCGUAGAUAUUAGGAGGAACACCAGUGGCGAAGGCGGCUUACUGGACUGUAACUGACGUUGAGGCUCGAAAGCGUGGGGAGCAAACAGGAUUAGAUACCCUCGUA
rnacentral:rRNA from 1 species